UUUCCGUAGGUGAACCUGCGGAAGGAUCAUUACUGAGUGAGGGCCCCUCGGGGUCCAACCUCCCACCCGUGUUUAACGAACCUUGUUGCUUCGGCGGGCCCGCCUCACGGCCGCCGGGGGGCAUCUGCCCCCGGGCCCGCGCCCGCCGAAGCCACCUGCGAACGCUGUCUGAAGUAUGCAGUCUGAGGCAAUUAUUAAAUUAAUUAAAACUUUCAACAACGGAUCUCUUGGUUCCG
rnacentral:misc_RNA from 1 species